rnacentral:miRNA from 1 species
UGUUUAUGAUCGUGUUUAUGACGUCGAAUAUCGACGUCAUAAACACCAAAGUUGAUCGUGUUUAUGACGUCGAAUAUCGACGUCAUAAACACCGAAG